rnacentral:tRNA from 1 species
CGCGGGAUGGUAGCAGCUGGUAGCUCGACGGGCUCAUAACCCGUAGGUCGGGGGUUCGAAUCCCUCUCCCGCAACCA